GCCUGGGUGGCUCAGUGGUUGAGCGUUUGCCUUCAGAUCAGGGCAUGAGCCGGGCGUCCUGGGAUCAAGUCCCACAUCAGGCU
rnacentral:tRNA from 1 species